rnacentral:rRNA from 1 species
UACAGAGGGUGCGAACGUUGCUCGGAAUUACUGGGCGUAAAGGGUGCGUAGGCGGUUGUUUAAGUCUGUCGUGAAAUCCCCGGGCUCAACCUGGGAAUGGCGAUGGAAACUGGGCAGCUAGAGUGUGUCAGAGGAUGGUGGAAUUCCCGGUGUAGCGGUGAAAUGCGUAGAGAUCGGGAGGAACAUCAGUGGCGAAGGCGGCCAUCUGGGACAACACUGACGCUGAAGCACGAAAGCGUGGGGAGCAAACAGG